rnacentral:ncRNA from 1 species
AAAGCUAGUGCCGCCAAGCUACCAUCUGUAGGAUUAUGGCUGAACGCCUCUAAGUCAGAAUCCAUGCUGGAAUAGACGAUAAUCACCUUUCCCGAUGUACCGCGAAUAGCGAUAGGUGUCUUCUGGGCACCCAACAUCAUACAAUUGCAACGCACUCCUCUGCCUGUCAAGUACUGGUGGUGGUGAGUAGGCUGAUUUGUAAUUUCAAAUAUUGGGAAAGAUAAAUCCUUUGUAGACGACUUAACUAAAGAACGGGGUGUUGUAAGCAUGAGAGUAGUCUUGUACUACGAUCUGCUGAGAUUUAGCCCUUGUUCUAUUGAUUUGU